AGUGAACGCUGGCGGUAGGCCUAACACAUGCAAGUCGAACGGCAGCACAGUAAGAGCUUGCUCUUACGGGUGGCGAGUGGCGGACGGGUGAGGAAUACAUCGGAAUCUACUUUUUCGUGGGGGAUAACGUAGGGAAACUUACGCUAAUACCGCAUACGACCUACGGGUGAAAGCAGGGGAUCUUCGGACCUUGCGCGAUUGAAUGAGCCGAUGUCGGAUUAGCUAGUUGGCGGGGUAAAGGCCCACCAAGGCGACGAUCCGUAGCUGGUCUGAGAGGAUGAUCAGCCACACUGGAACUGAGACACGGUCCAGACUCCUACGGGAGGCAGCAGUGGGGAAUAGUGGACAAUGGGCGCAAGCCUGAUCCAGCCAUACCGCGUGGGUGAAGAAGGCCUUCUGGUUGUAAAGCCCUUUUGUUGGGAAAGAAAAGCAGCAGGUUAAUACCCCGCUGUUCUGACGGUACCCAAAGAAUAAGCACCGGCUAACUUCGUG
rnacentral:rRNA from 1 species